UACGAAGGGGGCUAGCGUUGCUCGGAAUCACUGGGCGUAAAGGGCGCGUAGGCGGACAUUUAAGUCAGAGGUGAAAGCCCAGGGCUCAACCUUGGAAUUGCCUUUGAUACUGGAUGUCUUGAGUUCGGGAGAGGUGAGUGGAAUGCCGAGUGUAGAGGUGAAAUUCGUAGAUAUUCGGCGGAACACCAGUGGCGAAGGCGACUCACUGGCCCGAUACUGACGCUGAGGCGCGAAAGCGUGGGGAGCAAACAGGG
rnacentral:rRNA from 1 species